AUCUUGUCUCAUGCCCACCUUGCAGUUUUCCAUUUUUCUCCACCUAGGACCCACCUCACUUUGUGGAUUUACUCUAUAAAAAUCCUUGGAAAAAAUCUCUAUGUGGAAGGUGCAUGCUGAGCAGCAGGAGUUGGGCUUAAGGCCCUUGCGUCCAGUCUCAGGUCAGUAUGAGCAAGAAAAAGGGGUCCUGAACAUUUCCAUGGAAGAGGUUGUCACCUGAGUCUAAGUGUACCAUUAGGCCUCAUCCAGAGUUUUCUCUCUACUCUGCUAUAGUACUAAAAUGUGAGUAGAAAGACUCAGA
rnacentral:lncRNA from 1 species